CAGCCGCCGCGGUAAUACGUAGGCAGCAAGCGUUGUUCGGAGUUACUGGGCGUAAAGGGUGUGUAGGCGGUUCUCUAAGUUUGGUGUGAAAUCUCCCGGCUCAACCGGGAGGGUGCGCCGAAAACUGGGGAGCUAGAGUAUGGGAUGGGAAAGUGGAAUUCCUGGUGUAGCGGUGAAAUGCGUAGAUAUCAGGAGGAACACCGGUGGUGUAGACGGCUUUCUGGACCAUAACUGACGCUGAGACGCGAAAGCGUGGGUAGCAAACAGGAUUAGAUACCCCUGUAGUCCCUGUCUCUUAUAA
rnacentral:rRNA from 1 species